UACGUAGGUGGCAAGCGUUGUCCGGAUUUACUGGGCGUAAAGAGCGCGCAGGCGGUCGAGUAAGUCGAAUGUGAAAGCCCCCGGCUUAACUGGGGAGGGUCAUUCGAUACUGUUCGACUUGAAGGCAGGAGAGGGCAGCAGAAUUCCCGGUGUAGUGGUGAAAUGCGUAGAUAUCGGGAGGAAUACCAGUGGCGAAGGCGACUUACUGGACUGUAACUGACGCUGAGGCAUGAAAGCGUGGGGAGCAAACAGG
rnacentral:rRNA from 1 species